UCAGCAGGGAUGCGUGAGUUGAAUCCUCCUCAUUAUAAAAGAGAGGAGGUGGCCAGCAGGGCUUUCUCUGCGAUGCUCCAAGACUCUGGGACUUGCUCUCUGUUUUGGUUCACUGUACUCCCGAUUUGGUGUGGACACGCUGCAAUAGGGUUUUUGGAGAGGGCUAAGGAUGAGUGCCUCUACUUAUGCCCUUGACCUCUCCUGCAAAUGUCAGUAGCUGGAAGAAGUGACAGGAAAUUGGAGGAGAAGUGAAGUCUCCAGGAUUGCCAUAACGUUUUCAUUCUGUGACAGUGCUGGGGUGGGCAGCCUUUGAGAAAGCAGGAGCAGAAUGUUCUGUCAGUCAGAUGAUGAGACCUCUUCUAAUGAAAGUAAACAAAAUAGAAGAGUUCACCUAGAUGGGAGGCAUGAAAUGAAUGUGACAGCACUGAUGUCAUUAAGGUUAUGUUAAGCAAUCAAAGAAUAACCCUGUUAUACAGCGGUUUUGAGAACUUGCAUGUUGUGGGCAGUACACGCUUUUUAAAGCUCACUUAUGUGCUUCUUUAAAGAGCAAAGGAAUAGCUGGAGAAGGUAACACACAACUCAAGCUACAAGCUGUGAAUUUUUGUCCUGGCAAAACUGUAUUAACUUGUGGGUUAGGGUUUCCAUAGCUGUGCUCCUGCCAAAUAAACUAGUAUUCUGCCUCUACUUUCCUGAGCAUAUGAGUGUGUCUGUGCAUCUUGGGCCAAAUUAGCCCUGGGGUGACUCACAUUACAUUCUGUGGAAUCUGGCCCUUGUUGGCUUCUACAUGGCUUGUUCUGUC